UCAGAUUGAACGCUGGCGGCAGGCCUAACACAUGCAAGUCGAGCGGUAGCACAGAAGAGCUUGCUCUUUGGGUGACGAGCGGCGGACGGGUGAGUAAUGUCUGGGAAACUGCCUGAUGGAGGGGGAUAACUACUGGAAACGGUAGCUAAUACCGCAUAACGUCGCAAGACCAAAGUGGGGGACCUUCGGGCCUCAUGCCAUCAGAUGUGCCCAGAUGGGAUUAGCUAGUAGGUGAGGUAAUGGCUCACCUAGGCGACGAUCCCUAGCUGGUCUGAGAGGAUGACCAGCCACACUGGAACUGAGACACGGUCCAGACUCCUACGGGAGGCAGCAGUGGGGAAUAUUGCACAAUGGGCGCAAGCCUGAUGCAGCCAUGCCGCGUGUAUGAAGAAGGCCUUCGGGUUGUAAAGUACUUUCAGCGAGGAGGAAGGCGUUAAGGUUAAUAACCUUGACGAUUGACGUUACUCGCAGAAGAAGCACCGGCUAACUCCGUGCCAGCAGCCGCGGUAAUACGGAGGGUGCAAGCGUUAAUCGGAAUUACUGGGCGUAAAGCGCACGCAGGCGGUCUGUCAAGUCGGAUGUGAAAUCCCCGGGCUCAACCUGGGAACUGCAUCCGAAACUGGCAGGCUAGAGUCUUGUAGAGGGGGGUAGAAUUCCAGGUGUAGCGGUGAAAUGCGUAGAGAUCUGGAGGAAUACCGGUGGCGAAGGCGGCCCCCUGGACAAAGACU
rnacentral:rRNA from 1 species